AGCAGCCGCGGUAAUUCCAGCUCCAAUAGCGUAUAUUAAAGUUGUUGCAGUUAAAAAGCUCGUAGUUGAGUUUCGAGAUCAGUACGCUGGUCGUGCCUUCGGUAUGCACUGGUGUCACUGGUUUCUCCCUUCUGAAGAACCGUCAUGCCGUUCAGUUGGUGUGGCGGGGAAUCAGGACUGUUACUUUGAAAAAAUUAGAGUGUUUAAAGCAGGCUCGCGCUUGAAUACAUUAGCAUGGAAUAAUGAAAUAGGACGUUUGACCCUAUUUUGUUGGUUUCUAGGAUCGACGUAAUGAUUAAUAGGGAUAGUUGGGGGCAUUAGUAUUCAAUUGUCAGAGGUGAAAUUCUUGGAUUUAUUGAAGACUAACUACUGCGAAAGCAUUUGCCAAGGAUGUUUUCAUUAAUCAAGAACGAAAGUUAGGGGAUCGAAGACGAUCAGAUACCGUCGUAG
rnacentral:rRNA from 1 species